rnacentral:rRNA from 1 species
GUGAAAUUGUUGAAAGGGAAACGACUUGAAGUCAGUCGUGUUGGUGUGAAAUCAGCCUUUGUAUAAUAGAAUUUAUUGUUAUAAUGAGCCUUAAAACCACCGUAGCAGUAAAGUUUGUUAUACUUGGUGUACUUUUAUAUCAGCUGGUUAGCAUCAAUUUUGAUUGUCAUAAAAAGGCUAGGGGGAUGUGGCUCCUUCGGGAGUGUUAUAACCCUUAGCGGAAUGUGAUGGUUGGGAUUGAGGAUUGCAACGGGUACCUUCUACCUGAUCUCUCACUGACGUCUUGGCGGCAACAGCUUGCUGAUGUCGUUAAGAUAUGUUAAUGAAUAGGUUGGAGUGGAAUAAUUCGUUAAGGAUGCUGACGUAAUGGCUUUAAACGAC